rnacentral:rRNA from 1 species
CACCGGCGGCCCGAGUGGUGAUCGUGAUUAUUGGGUCUAAAGGGUCCGUAGCCGGUUUGGUCAGUCCUCCGGGAAAUCUGAUAGCUCAACUAUUAGGCUUUCGGGGGAUACUGCCAGACUUGGAACCGGGAGAGGUAAGAGGUACUACAGGGGUAGGAGUGAAAUCUUGUAAUCCCUGUGGGACCACCUGUGGCGAAAGCGUCUUACCAGAACGGGUUCGACGGUGAGGGACGAAAGCUGGGGGCACGAACCGGAUUAGAUAGAUCGGAAGAG